rnacentral:rRNA from 1 species
CUGCGGGUAAUACCGGAUAACGUCUAAGGACCAAAGGUGUAAUUCCGUCUGAGGAUGAGUCCGCGUCCUAUUAGCUUGUUGGUGGGGUAAUGGUCUACCAAGGCAAUGAUGGGUACUGGGUGUGAGAGCAUGACCCAGCUCACUGGGACUGAGACACUGCCCAGACACCUACGGGUGGCUGCAGUCGAGGAUCUUCGGCAAUGGGCGCAAGCCUGACCGAGCGACGCCGCGUGCGGGAUGAAGGCCUUCGGGUUGUAAACCGCUGUCAGAGGGGAUGAAAUGCGUAGGGGUACUCUCCUACGUUUGACAUAUCCUCAGAGGAAGUACGGGCUAAGUUCGUGCCAGCAGCCGCGGUAAGACGAACCGUACGAACGUUAUUCGGAAUUACUGGGCUUAAAGGGUGCGUAGGCGGCGUGGCAAGUUGGGUGUGAAAUCCCUCGGCUUAACCGAGGAACUGCGCCCAAUACUGCCGUGCUCGAGGGAGACAGAGGUGAGCGGAACUUAGGGUGGAGCGGUGAAAUGCGUUGAUAUCCUAAGGAACACCUGUGGCGAAAGCGGCUCACUGGGUCUCUUCUGACGCUGAGGCACGAAAGCUAGGGUAGCGAACGGGAUUAGAUACCCCGGUAGUCCUAGCUGUAAACGAUGAGCACUGGGUUGGAGGGUCCUCCAUAGCCUUCCAGCCGAAGCGAAAGUGU